AAAAAACAAAAAAAAAAAAAGAAAAAAUUUUAAAAAAAGAUUUAUUUAUACUACUGAGAAGUCUUUGUUAGCCCUGCUUUGCACCCCCCAGCUGCGACAAAGGCAGUUAGGGUGAUGCAAUCUUAGUGCCAGUUCUUUCCAGGAGGCUUGUUCUACAGCUUCCCGGUACAUGUGUUAAAGAUCACACAUGACCCAGGUGCUUGCCUAACAUAAACCUCUCCUCCUGUACGGAGAAAACUCUCUCAACUGUUUGUGGCAACAGGACAUCAUUCAUAUCACUUCUGGAAACACCACACUCAAAAUGACUCCAGGAAAGUCGGCAGCUUUCACAGGGGCCCAAGAACCUCAAGGCUCUCUUAAAUAGGUAAGGACCAUCACAAACAUCAUGCUAUAAAGGGGAAGUACUCUUUUCACAAAGAGUUUUAAAGAGAAACCACAAGAAAAUUGCCUUUUUUCAACCAGAACAAAGCUACAUCUUUGUUGCUUCUGUAAAUCAGAC
rnacentral:lncRNA from 1 species